UGUCAUGUUCACCUAGGAGACAAUGAGU
rnacentral:piRNA from 1 species